rnacentral:rRNA from 1 species
CCUACGUGAGUCAGCAGUGGGGAAUAUUGCACAAUGGGGGAAACCCUGAUGCAGCGACGCCGCGUGAGUGAAGUAGUAAUUCGUUAUGUAAAGCUCUAUCAGCAGGGAAGAAAAUGACGGUACCUGAGUAAGAAGCCCCGGCUAACUCAGUGCCAGCAGCCGCGGUAAUACGUAGGGGGCAAGCAUUAUCCGGAUGUACUGGGUGUAAAGGGAUCGUAGACGGCAAUGCAAGUCUGGAGUGAAAGGCGGGGGCUCAACCCCCGGACGGCUCUGGAAACUGUACGGCGGGAGUGCAGGAGAGGUAAGUGGAAUUCCAAGUGUAGCGGUGAAAUGCGUAGAUAUUAGGAGGAACACCAGUGGCGAAGGCGGCUUACUGGAAUGUAACUGACGUUGAGGCUCGAAAGCGUGGGGAGCAAACAGGAGUAGAUACCCCAGUAGUC